GUCCGUUGACGACAUUGACUUUUUCUCAGGUAGUAUUUCAGAAAGUCCAGUUUCAGGUGGUAUUGUCGGGCCUACCUGUGGUUUUAUUAUUGCGUUACAAUACAAUCGAUUGAGAUUUGGAGAUCGAUACUUCUUUGAUGUGUAUGGAGAAGCUGGCUCUUUCACAGCUGCCCAACUGAGAGAAAUCCGAAAGGUAACUUUGUCCAGAAUUUUGUGUGAGAACAGUAAUGAUGUAGAUGAACUACAACAAUGGAUCUUCCUACCAGUCUCUAGGACUAAUCCAUCUUUGAAAUGUUCAUCUCGAGAAUCGUUUGAUUUCACGCCAUGGUGUGAUACUUGUAAGUAACAUUAUUUAUCAGUU